rnacentral:lncRNA from 1 species
AUUUGUAUCACUCUAUAUAAACGGCUGUGUGCAGUUAUUAAAUGGCUUGGCUACUAGAAACUAUAUUAGUGUGUGGCCUCAUCCCUCACCGCACCUCGGCUGAUUAUUUCUUUCCUGGGGCCCUCGGACUUGUUGUUUGACAACAAUUGGUGCCCGAACAGCAACUGAACCUUGGAGGAAUAUCGAACAGGGAUCCUGGAGUAAGAUCGAACACAGACCUUGGAGUAACAUCGAACAGCAAAGGAACCUUGGAGUAAGAUGGAGCUAAGGCAGCGGUGGCAGACAGUUGGCGCCGGACACGCAGGAAAUUGUCACUAUCACCUUCGGAGAAUCCGUUGUUUGUGGCGGCGGCACUACGACCCCCCGCUGAACGGCCGCCCGUAGCCUCCAGAGGCCCGAGCCCGGACCGCGCCGCUUUCACCGCCCCCCCACAACUGCCGGCCCGAGCCCGGACCGUGCCGCGGCCACCGCCUCAGCCGCCUCCAACCGGUGCUCUCCAUGGGAGUGCAGGGCUUCCAGGACUACAUCGAGAAGCACUGCCCUAGCGCUGUGGUCCGUCGAUCUGCAAAAGCUGGCGUGGGGCAGCCUAGUGGAGGGGAGGAGCGGAGAGCGGCGGCAGCCUCCACAGACCUCUUCUCUUUUGAGAAGCAAGUAUCUGGAAGGUUAUCAAUCCACAGAACUGGAGUAUUAACUCUUUAAUUACCCAUGAUGCACAUGAUGUUAUGAUGUGGAAUGCCAGUAGCAAAAUUACAAAACCAUGACACAGUCUUAACUGGAUUGUCCUAUCACAUCCACCCUAUAGUCAAAAUUUGGUGCUUUCUGACUUCCAUUUGUUCAGUCUGAUGAAAGAUGGACUACGUGACCAACAUUUUUCUAGCAAUGAUGUUGUCAUAGUGUCUAUGAAACAGUGGUUCACUGUGUUCAUCACUGGUGAAAAUGCAUAGGUAAUGUCGGUGAUUAUGCUGAAAAAUAGUGUUCUGUAGCUGAGAAUUUGCUCUAUCAAAUAGUAAUAUUGUUCUUUAUGUAUCUGUUGUGGUUUCCAUUAUUUUCAGAGUGACUUACGUGGAUUUAUUCUCAUACUUGAGCAAUGAGUAUCAGGCAGUUAAUAAGCACAAAAAUUUGUCUUUGAAUAUUUGCUAUGGAAAAGAGAAAAAUAUGGAUUAUAAUGAAAGACCUGUAUACUUACGGGUAUUUCUGCUGUUGUUAUUUCUAUAGUUGUUAUUUCUUGAAUAGUAUAGGACCUAUAAUCCUUCUGUAGCAUUUUAAAAAUAUUUGAUAUUAAAAAUAAUAACCCAUAACAAGAUUUACAAUGCAAUUAUAGACUUUAUUAUUGAUUGCUGGGAACUUGCUCUUGUUGAAUUACACUAAAGCUACAUCAUUUUCAGUUUUUGAUGUCUAAUACAUUAUAUUGUGCAAAGGUAGGUUGUUCCUCAUUUGAAAUGUAGAUGCUUUGUGAGUUAGAGGCAGAGAAACUUGCACUUACACAAAUGUGAAAGUCUGCCUUGGCACAGUUUUGAGUCAUCUGCUCUAGCUGACCCUAGUUGAGCACGGGACUUGGAUUAAAUGGCAUCAAGAGGUCCCUUCUAACUUAAACUAUUUUGUGAUUCUGUGAAAUAGACAGGAAGUCUACAGCAGUACUGGAUAAUGACUUAAUCCACUAACGCAUGUAUUUACAACAGAAAAAACAUAUAUAUAUUGGAAGUCAAAAGGAUUUGUUUGAGACAAGUGUAUAAAAAUCCUCAGCAGCAAUAGUAUAGAAAAAAAAAAUAAUGCUAAAAAGAAAAGGAUGUUAAAGCAAAUCCUUUUUUCCUGUAGGUAUCUGUAGCUUUUUAUUUUUAUCUCCCAGUGAUAAGUAUGCCUUUCUCUGGAAAGUGUAUGAAAGUCACUUGGAAUGUGAAAUGUACA